GGAGUUAGCCGGUGCUUCUUCUGUGAGUGAUGUCCUUCCUGCCGGCUAUUAACCCGCAGGCCUUCUUCCUCACUGAAAGUGCUUUACAACCCGAAGGCCUUCUUCACACACGCGGCAUGGCUGGAUCAGGGUUGCCCCCAUUGUCCAAUAUUCCCCACUGCUGCCUCCCGUAGGAGUCUGGGCCGUGUCUCAGUCCCAGUGUGGCUGAUCAUCCUCUCAGACCAGCUACGGAUCGUCGCCUUGGUGAGCCGUUACCUCACCAACCAGCUAAUCCGACAUAGGCUCAUCCGAUAGCGCGAGGCCCGAAGGUCCCCCGGCUUUCCCCCGUAGGGCGUAUGCGGUAUUAGCCUGGGUUUCCCCCAGGUUAUCCCCCGACUACCGGGCAGAUUCCUAUGCAUUACUCACCCGUCCGCCGCUCGCCACCAGGGAGCAAGCUCCCCGUGCUGCCGCUCGACUUGCAUGUGUUAGGCCUGCCGCCAGCGUUCAAUCUGAGCCAGGAUCAAACUCUGA
rnacentral:rRNA from 1 species